GUUUUACAAAUUUAAACAAAUGUUUUAUCAAGUUUUAAACAAGUAAUAAACAUAUGAGUUCGACAUUAUUUUCAGAUCCCAACAAACCACAAUGGUAUAUUGACAUUGUGAAGGGAUACCCCAUCACCAUUCGGCUAAUUGUACUCCUUGCUGUUAGCUUUCCCCAGUCAUUCGUUCUUUUUGUGGUUCCAUUAAUUUUUUUAUGUAGAUCUAGGUAUGCCUAAUGCAACACACAGAGCUGAGGGAGUCUGACUUGUAGUGGGUUGCUCAAGAACUGGACAAAGACAGGAAUUCACCCAAUACCUGUCUGAGAAAAUGUAAUUUGAAAGGGGUAACACCUUAAUUUGGUGUAAUAUAUCCAGUAGCUAUUUCACCCACAAAUGGCUAUUAUAUAUAUAGUUAUGCCAUAUAGGGUACAAAGAAGAAGUUCAGAUGUUGUAGAAGAGUGAUGUAACAAUAUGUAUGGUGUAUACGACUUUGAAUCUGCUAGAGGCAGAUUAAGUAUGGUAUACACCAAAUAAUCUAUUUAGCAGAAGCGGCUAUGUGGCAUAGAAUAACAGCAUAGAGGGCUGUUUUCUAUAUUAUACUUAGGUUGAUGUCACGAAUCAAUAUAAUGACACAACUAUUUAAAAUGAAUAUCUCUUUAAAUCUGCUACAGGCAGACUGACUAAGUGGUGCACUGAGAAUAUUUCUAUUAGUCAUACAAGUUAAAAAUAUAUAUUGCUUGGUACUGUAUUCUAAAGUGCAGUGACUUUAACCCCUUAAGGACUGGACCUUUUUUGCGAUGUUGUACAUUUGCGACCAGGCAUAUUUUUACACUUUUGUGGUGUUUGUGUU